rnacentral:rRNA from 1 species
GUACUUACUCCUACGGGAGGCAGCAGUGGGGAAUAUUGGACAAUGGGCGAAAGCCUGAUCCAGCAAUGCCGCGUGUGUGAAGAAGGUCUUCGGAUCGUAAAGCACUUUCGACAGGGACGAUGAUGACGGUACCUGUAGAAGAAGCCCCGGCUAACUUCGUGCCAGCAGCCGCGGUAAUACGAAGGGGGCUAGCGUUACUCGGAAUUACUGGGCGUAAAGGGCGCGUAGGCGGCUUGGCCAGUCAGGCGUGAAAUUCCUGGGCUUAACCUGGGGACUGCGCUUGAUACUGCCAGGCUUGAGGCCGAGAGAGGGUGGUGGAAUUCCCAGUGUAGAGGUGAAAUUCGUAGAUAUUGGGAAGAACACCGGUGGCGAAGGCGACCACCUGGCUCGGUACUGACGCUGAGGCGCGACAGCGUGGGGAGCAAACAGGAUUAGAAACCCCAGUAGUCCAGGCAU